CCGGCAGCCUCCUCAGCUUCGGAGCUCACCAAAACCAGCCAGCCACCUCGGGGAGUCACCCAAGAGCCUAGAUGCAGGCUACAGACGGGUUGGUUACUGGUUCUGCUCUAAGGACUGGCCUGCUGGACUCGCUGCGCUUCUCUGCCAGCUGUUCCCUCUUCCGCCUUCUGUUUGCUUUGAUCUGAGGUUGACAGACCACCUGGCCUGCUAAACUGGGAAGGUGGGGGAGUCGAGCCCUCAGGAAGCCAGUCUGUGGGGGGUGAUGACAUCAUCUCAGCCACGCAAGCCCUGCAGAGAGAAGAGGGAGUCUCCCAGCUGUGGAGACGAGAAAACAAUGAUCUCCACGCGCCCCGCAGCCAGAGUGGAGUUCAAGUCCCUCAGCUUAAAAUCAAAUCUCCCCUUUGUUCCUAACUCUCCCCCACCACCCACAAAUGUCCUGCAACUGUCAUGGAGCGGCUACUACUAAUAAUAAUCACUGGCCUUGUGUUGGGCUUUGCAAACUGUUCUCACAUUCACUGCACCAGUGAAUCAAGCAAUCCUCUGUGAGGCCAGGGAGACAGGCAUUAUCGCUCCCAUUUUACAGAGGAAGUGACUGAGGCUGCAAAAGAUGAACAGAUGGGUACAAGCGUGGUCAAGUUGAGUCUCAAGCCAAGGGUUCUAUGUCUUAGCCUAAAGUGGUGGUUCUCGAGCUUUAGCACACUGGAAUCCCCUGGAGGGCUUGGUUAAAAGAAUUUGCUUUUCUAACAAAUGUCCAAGUGAUGCUGAUGCUGUGGGGUGGGGGUCCACGCUCUCAGAAUCUGUGGCCUAAAACUUUUGCCACUACAUCGUACCUCCUCAUUGUGUUAAUAAAGAAGCGUUUCCAGCAGCUAUGGAUGGACAGAUUUGGGUCUUUUCCAAAGAAUCUGUUAAUAGCAGCAUAUAUCUGAAACAUAAGGCAGGAGCAGCAGCCUCCAGCUGCUGGGUAUUUCCCACAGAAGGGAAGGAGCCUGGACGAGAGAGGCUGGGGUAACCCAGGGUUUUGGCUUGAGCGCAUGGGGUUAAUUCUGAAUCCCUUCCGGGCAGCCCACGUGACUGGGAAGGAGGAAGGUGGAAUGAUUGCUUAUAUACAGAACCAUCAAGGUCUUGACUGUGUUAAAACCCAAUCAUUACUUCCAGGUAGUGAUGCAUUUUAGGCAAUGUCUUCUGCUUAUGCUCAGCAAUGCAUGAGUCUCAGAGCGGUGGCCAGAGAAAUGGCGAAUCGUCGUAUAUUGAGCGAGUGAUAAUGGAAUCCAGGAGGUGGAAAUUACAAGUUGAAAAGUAAAAUCAAUGCCCUGACUGUGAAAUGACUGAAUGCCUGGUGAGGAACUGUGUCGAGGUGCACCCCCACUCCCCUUACUCCACACCGACCUUUAAGACGCUCACCAGUUCAGAAGUUCCUUGAGGGCAGGAAGCAUAUUUUAAUCACGGGUAAUCAUAGCAUAUCAGGGCAGAAAUGGGCCUUAGAGAGCUUCCAGCCCUGGAGUGGCAAAUCGGUUUCAUUUUGGUGCCAGCUACAAUCAUUUAGUGGUGGCUGCCUGAAGCGCUGGGCCGAGAAGUGUUCUGCGGGUCUCUGGGCUCCUUGAGGAGUCGGCCAUGAUCAAUUAGCGAUGUUUACCAUGGCCAGGGGAGUGGCAAGGAGGCAGCACUUUGCUCAGAUUACCCAACCCCUAUCUAGUCCAACCUGUCCCGCUGACAGAUGAGGAAAGAACUGCUAAGCAGCUCUGUGUCCCCACCCACACCCCAGCACAUUCUUGUCCCCUAGCAGCCAUCCACUUCCAGGGGUCUGUGCAUAGUAUUCAAGGGUCUAUGAACUUGAGUGGGAGAGACAUUUACAUCUUUGUUUCACUAAACUCUGAGAUCAAGCACUUCCUUCCAUGAUGAAUGUAGGCAACAAACUGUGGUAGCAACAGCAGCACCUGUGACUGUCACCAAUAGAAACCACAGCUAUCUUCCUAGCACAUCAGAGCUGCUGCUGCUGUCUCUAAAGAUCACUUACACCCCUCGCUAGUCACUGUGGUCUUUGUAUGAAAGGAUCGUAGUUAUUAGACCCAACACUAAAUCUUGUUACUUAAUGCAUUAAUAAAGAAACACACAUAUUACUGAUCCCGAAGUUGCUUCUUAAUAUUUGCAUAACUGCAUUUCAAUAGAGAAUUGGUUUCCUCUGUCAUACUAUUUUAUGCAAUUAAAUUCAUCAUCCUGAGAAG
rnacentral:lncRNA from 10 species